UCGAGAAUCUUCGGCAAUGGGCGCAAGCCUGACCGAGCGACGCCGCGUGGAGGACGAAGGCCUUCGGGUUGUAAACUCCUGUCGAGGGGGAAGAAGGCCCCGCAAGGGGCUUGACUGAUCCCUGGAGGAAUCACGGGCUAAGUUCGUGCCAGCAGCCGCGGUAAGACGAACCGUGCGAACGUUAUUCGGAAUCACUGGGCUUAAAGCGCGUGUAGGCGGAUGAGCACGUCUGUCGCUGAAAUCCCCCGGCUCAACCGGGGAACGGGCGUGGAUACGGCUUGUCUGGAGGGGCGUAGGGGGACCUGGAACUUCCGGUGGAGCGGUGAAAUGCGUUGAGAUCGGAAGGAACGCCCGUGGCGAAAGCGAGGUCCUGGACGCCUACUGACGCUGAGACGCGAAAGCCAGGGGAGCGAAC
rnacentral:rRNA from 1 species